ensembl:lncRNA LOC102555037 uncharacterized LOC102555037
CGGGGAGGAGGCGCCGGCAGCUCCACGCUUCUCCGCGCCGCCGCCGCCGCCGCCGCUGCCCCUCGCCCGCCGCGCGCCGUCCUCUUGGGGCAAAGUUUCGGGGUCUGCGAUCGACAAGAGACCGGGGCGACCCUCAGCAAGUCUUCCUUCCGUGAAGGUUGUGUAGUGAGGGGCUCGAAGGGGACGAGGUGAUUAGGCGGAGGGGGCCGGAGUAGAUAGGGGGGCAGCAGGAAGGAGAGGACCCCGAGCUCCGGGGGGGACAGGGUAGGAGGAUGCGCCGCGGGGGAUCCCUGCAGGGAUCGGGAAACCCGGAGCCCGGCUUGAGCCUUAGUCUCAGCACCUUCCCGGGAUCUUACAAAGUUGCAACAACAAAAAAGGAGGGGCAGGACCGGGGGAAAGGGGUGGGAUAGGGCUGCGGUGGCAGGCGCAAGGUUUGGAGUUACAACUGUUUAUUUAGUCCUUAGACUCCCAGGGGGCGGGAGCUGCGCGGGAAUGGGGGUGCUGCAGGCAGCAAUUUCCAAGCAAACACUGGGGUGGGGGGGCAUGAGACUUUGUUUCUGGGCGCGGAGCUCCCUGGCGCCCGUGUGUGUCACCGCCAGUCUCCAGGGACUAAGGCGGAGCUCACAACAGGUGGGGAGGGGGACAAGGAAUCAAAGUUUCCGAGCGCAGCAGGGUGUGAGGGGGGAGAGAAGGGGAGGCGGGGGCGCGAGGAGGCGGAGGCAGCAGAUGACCACGACCCUGCGGCAGCUGGCAAACUCCUCGGCUCCCGGCGCCGCCGCCACCGCCUCGGUCCCCACCCGAAGCGCGCGCCGCCUCGUCUGGUCGGCUCCAGAGAGACGUCUCCGAGGGACAGGAACCGAGAAUCGAGAGCACGGGAGGAAAGCUGCGCGCAGGACAGCCAGCUAUAGGAGAAAACCAAGGACAUAUACCUCUAUCAUUUGCCUGAAGAAGAACAGGAAUGCACACCUUGGCUGGAAAUCAGUGAUCAGGUACUGUCCUGCUGCCCACUGUGGUCCAUCAUCAAAGAAAAGAGUUCUUGAGCCAAAGAUGCUGAUUUGAUGGUGGAAGUGAUGGAGAAUAAGUAAGCUGCUUCGAUGAAGUCUGGAUUAUAUCACAAGAAAAACUACAGGCACGGGGAACAAUAGAAAUAAUUUGGGAUGUCCUAGAAAGGACUAGAGACUAGAACAUGAAAACCCGCUGUGUAAGACCAUUCCAGGCAGAGACAACAGCAAUUACUUUUCUCAUUGGUGUGGCAAAAAUACUGGAGAAAAGCAACUCAGGAGGUCACGUUGAUUUUGGCUGAGUGUUUAUACAAGGAUACAGACCAUCCCAGGUGAUGGCAUCAUCCUGGCAGCAGGAGGCUGAGGCAGCUGGUCAGACUUCAUCUGCAAUCAGGACGCAGAGGAAGAUGAACGCUUGGUGUUCAGCUUGCCUAGAAUGGGAUGGUGCCUUCUACAUUUAGGGUAGGUUUUCCCACUGCAACGAACCCAAUCAAAAUACUGCAAACUCCUUCACAAACAUGCUCAGAAGUUUGUCUCCUGGGUGAUUCAAGACCCUCUCAAGUUGGCAAUGCCAACCACCACCAAGUUCAAAGGCUCCAAGGUAGGCCUGCUGUGCUAGAGGGAGGGGAGAGGCACUGUGUGACCACAGCAGAGGGAAAAGGCAGAAAGAGGUGAGGGAAAGCCAACAUGGCCAUGUGAAGUACGUCUUAGGGUGCAUGGCGGUGGGUGGGCCAUGGCGCUUUUCUCUCAACGUCAGGGGACAUCUGCAGUGUUCUGAGCAGCACAGGCCAUCAAUUUUUGCGAUUAUCAUAAGUAUAGGAAGUACACACAGAGAGGAUAUACUUAUCCAGAUGUUUCUAGUCAUGCUCCAGGUAUAUCAAGGAGCCAGCCACAUCAUGACUGGAGGGAGGUAUGGCCCAGUGCCAGAAAUCAGGCUCAGGUGACAGGCUCAGCUGGAAAGGGGUACCCAUCUGUCACAAACAACCCUUGCUCUCUACUACUUGUCCAAUGUCUAUAGGUGGCAGAGAUAUUAAUACUGGAGCAUUAAGCAUCCACCAAGCAUGUGCUGCACCGGAGGACUCUCGCUUUGUGUGCUUUUUGAGCCAGUAACUAUCAGAAACAACUCCCACCAGCUCAUAAGGAACCCUACUGAGGUUUGGAUGUGAUCUGGCCUUCAAGAGCAGUGUGUUGGAAGCUUGGUGGGAAUGUGAGAGAUGGUGGUGAUACCCUUGAGAAGUGUCACCUGUUGGUACUAAAUGAUGUCACUUGAUUAUGACCCUUGGAAGAGGUUAAGGUAGUUUUCAUGGGAUCCUUCCAUUGAAAGGCAAUGUUAUAAAACAGCACACCUACCCCUCCCCAAUUUCACCAUGUGAGUUCUCUCCUGUUCCAUGCCUUUCUAUUUUUUGUGCCACCCAUCAAAACCAAGGCAGUGCUAGCACCAAGUCCUUGAAUCUCUAGAACUUUGACCUAAAUAAACCUCAUGUCUUCG